rnacentral:rRNA from 1 species
CCCCUAGAUGUUCUGGGCCGCACGCGCGCUACACUGAACAGUUCAACAAGUCUUAACCUUGGCCGAUAGGUCUGGGUAAUCUUUGAACGCUGUUCGUGAUUGGGAUAGACCUUUGCAAUUAUGGGUCUUCAACGAGGAAUUCCUAGUAAACGCAAGUCAUCAGCUUGCAUUGAUUACGUCCCUGCCCUUUGUACACACCGCCCGUCGCACCUACCGAUUGAAUGGUCCGGUGAAAUCUCGGGACGGCGGCUUGGUCGCUUGCGUCCGACUGCUGAAACUUCAUUAAACCAUAUCAUUUAGAGGAAGGUGAAGUCGUAACA